rnacentral:tRNA from 1 species
GAGUGGGUUACCUCAGUGGGUAGAGCUUAGGGCUAAUGACCGAAAGCUCGCGGGUUCGAAUCUCGCCAGUCA